rnacentral:rRNA from 1 species
GGAAUAGGACGUGUGGUUCUAUUUUGUUGGUUUCUAGGACCGCCGUAAUGAUUAAUAGGGACAGUCGGGGGCAUCAGUAUUCAAUUGUCAGAGGUGAAAUUCUUGGGUUUAUUGAAGACUAACUACUGCGAAAGCAUUUGCCAAGGAUGUUUUCAUUAAUCAGGAACUAAAGUUAGGGGAUCGAAGACGAUCAGAUACCGUCGUAGUCUUAACCAUAAACUAUGCCGACUAGGGAUCGGACGAUGUUAUUUUUUGACGCGUUCGGCACCUUACGAGAAAUCAAAGUGCUUGGGCUCCAGGGGGAGUAUGGUCGCAAGGCUGAAACUUAAAGAAAUUGACGGAAGGGCACCACCAGGGGUGGAGCCUGCGGCUUAAUUUGACUCGACACGGGGAAACUCACCAGGUCCAGACACAAUGAGGAUUGACAGAUUGAGAGCUCUUUCUUGAUUUUGUGGGUGGUGGUGCAUGGCCGUUCUUAGUUGGUGGAGUGAUUUGUCUGCUCAAUUGCGAUAACGAACGAGACCUUAACCUGCUAAAUAGCCCGUAUUGCUUUGGCAGUACGCUGGCUUCUUAGAGGGACUAUCGGCUCAAGCCGAUGGGAGUUUGAGGCAAUAACAGGUCUGUGAUGCCCUUAGAUGUUUCUGAACCGCACGCGCGCUACACUGACGAAGCCAGCGGAGUACUUCCCUGACCGUAAGGCCCGGAUUCAUCUGAUCUUCUGACCAC